CUGUUAACCCCUGCUGGGAGGUGUCUCCCAGUCAGGAGGCAUGGGGUUUGGGAACCCACUUAAUGAAGCAGUCUGUCCUUUAGCAGAGCUUGAGCACUGUGCUGGGAGAUCUGCUGCUGUUUUUGGAGCUGGUAUGUAGGAAUGUUUGUCUGCUGGAGCUGUGCCCACAGCUGUCCCUUCCCCCAGAUGCUGUGUCCCAGGGAGAUGGGAGUUUUAUUUAUAAACACCUGACUGGGGCUGCUGCCUUUCCUUCAGAGAUGCCCUAUCCAGAAAGGAAGAAUCUAGAGAAGCAGAUUUGCUGAGCUGUGGUGGGCUCUGCCCAGUUCAAACUUCGUGAAGCUGGUUAGUACUUAGUUGAAGGCUUGAUGUGGACACUGCAGAUCUCUGAAGCUCUCUCCUCUCUGUAUCUCUGCUCUACAGAGUCUACUUGCUGUGAUAUUCCUUGGCUCCCAGAUACAUCUUCACUGCUCAAGACAUGGGGUCUUUCUAUGUUGCUCAGACUGGAGUGUGAUGACAUGAUCAGAGCUUAGCUCACUGCCGCCUGAACUUCUGGGCUCAAGUAAUCCUCCUGCCUCAGCUCCCCAAGUAGCUUGGACUACAG
rnacentral:lncRNA from 13 species